CUGGACACUAACUGAAGCUGCACUCCCAAAUUUAAAGUCUAAUGGGUUGCCACCUUUCUCAAGAAAUUCUAGCUCUCUUCUCCUCUCCUCACGAACAUCAUACUCCUGUCUGAGCUCUGCCUGAGCUCUCUCAAUUGCUGCUCGGCGCGGAGAGGUCUUGAUACCAAUUCCAACUCCGCCUUCAACAACCCCUCCCAUGGAAUCGACCUCAGCAUUUACUAGGAAAGCAGAUCCUGAACCACAUCCAUGCAUUCCUACCUCAGUAGCUACAAGCUUUCCCCUCCUACUGAUUCAGAAACCUGAAUUACAGAAUUGGGAAGCUAGGGAACAGCAAAAACACAAUUAAGAAGCGUCCCCCUGUUGUAACACUUUAUCUCUCCCAGGGUUUUGGAGUAGUGACAAAUAGCUCAAUCUAAACGAGGGAAAUUAACCCUAGAAUUAAAGGCUUCGGUGCAAAUGUCAGCCAUGAGAACGUGAAAUGAAGUCUUCUGUAAUUCCAUCUACGUUCUCUCCAAAAGGUCCUUUCUCCUUUUAAAUUUUUUGCUAAUUUUGUUUCUCGCUCUCUGGUGUUUUUUUUUUUUUUGGC
rnacentral:misc_RNA from 1 species